rfam:Populus trichocarpa isolate Nisqually-1 chromosome 5, whole genome shotgun sequence.
AUACCUUUCUCGGCCUUUUGGCUAAGAUCAAGUGUAGUAUCUGUUCUUAUCAGUUUAAUAUCUGAUACGUGGGCCAAUGGCUCACACGAUAUUAAAUUUAUUUUUUUAGGGGGAGGAUCCAUCACAGUAGCUUGCUACUGGGGCUCUCGAGCGUCGCCUUUGCGCUGCACUAUAGCAUUGGCCUGGCGCUCCCCAC